rnacentral:rRNA from 1 species
GAUGAACGCUGGCGGCGUGCUUAACACAUGCAAGUCGAACGGAAAGGCCCAAGCUUGCUUGGGUCCUCGAGUGGCGAACGGGUGAGUAACACGUGGGUGAUCUGCCCUGCACUUCGGGAUAAGCCUGGGAAACUGGGUCUAAUACCGGAUAGGACCACUUCUUGGAUGUUGUGGUGGAAAGUUUUUUCGGUGUGGGAUGAGCUCGCGGCCUAUCAGCUUGUUGGUGGGGUAAUGGCCUACCAAGGCGUCGACGGGUAGCCGGCCUGAGAGGGUGUACGGCCACAUUGGGACUGAGAUACGGCCCAGACUCCGACGGGAGGCAGCAGUGGGGAAUAUUGCACAAGGGGCGCAAGCCUGAUGCAGCGACGCCGCGUGGGGGAUGACGGCCUUCGGGUUGUAAACUCCUUUCGCUAGGGACGAAGCGUUUUGUGACGGUACCUGGAGAAGAAGCACCGGCUAACUACGUG